rfam:Candidatus Pacearchaeota archaeon CG1_02_39_14 cg1_0.2_scaffold_1373_c, whole genome shotgun sequence.
GGCCCCGUAGUCUAGUGGCAAAACGACUCGUUUACACCGAGUAGUCAGGAGUUCGAUUCUCUUCGGGGCCA